rnacentral:tRNA from 1 species
AGCUCAGUGGUUCAAUGGAAAAAGCGCUCGUCGCGGAGCCAGAGAGUCUUGGGUUCGAUCCCCGACGGGGUCG